GCGAGCGGCGGAUGGGUGAGUAACACGUGGGGAACCUGCCCCUAAGUCUGGGAUACCAUUUGGAAACAGGUGCUAAUACCGGAUAAUGAAGCAGAUCGCAUGAUCAGCUUUUGAAAGGCGGCGUAAGCUGUCGCUAAGGGAUGGCCCCGCGGUGCAUUAGCUAGUUGGUAAGGUAACGGCUUACCAAGGCGACGAUGCAUAGCCGAGUUGAGAGACUGAUCGGCCACAUUGGGACUGAGACACGGCCCAAACUCCUACGGGAGGCAGCAGUAGGGAAUCUUCCACAAUGGACGCAAGUCUGAUGGAGCAACGCCGCGUGAGUGAAGAAGGUUUUCGGAUCGUAAAGCUCUGUUGUUGGUGAAGAAGGAUAGAGGUAGUAACUGGCCUUUAUUUGACGGUAAUCAACCAGAAAGUCACGGCUAACUACGUGCCAGCAGCCGCGGUAAUACGUAGGUGGCAAGCGUUGUCCGGAUUUAUUGGGCGUAAAGCGAGCGCAGGCGGAAAAAUAAGUCUAAUGUGAAAGCCCUCGGCUUAACCGAGGAACUGCAUCGGAAACUGUUUUUCUUGAGUGCAGAAAAGGAGAGUGGAACUCCCUGUGUAGCGGGUGGAAUGCGUAGAUAUAUGGAAAGAACACCAGUGGC
rnacentral:rRNA from 1 species